CCUAUUUAUAAUGGCGGCAUUUCAUUUCAUUAGAGGAACUUGUUUUUUAAUCGAUAAUCCACGAUAAUUUUCACUUUAAUUAAAAAUUUAUAUACCGCCAUCUAAAGAAUUAAUUUCAUAAUAUUACUCUAAAUAAAACAUAAAAAGUUAGGUCAAGGUGUAAUCAAUAUUAAAGUUAAAAUGAGUUACAUUAAAAAUCAAUUUAGAAUUAAAUAAUUUUAAUUAUUUGUGAAAAAGGAUUUAAAAGUUAUAUUAUAAUCAAUAAUAAUUUAUUAUGAAUUAA
rnacentral:rRNA from 1 species